rnacentral:rRNA from 1 species
CAGUAGCCACGGUAAUACGUAGGUCCCGAGCGUUGUCCGGAUUUAUUGGGCGUAAAGCGAGCGCAGGCGGUUAGAUAAGUCUGAAGUUAAAGGCUGUGGCUUAACCAUAGUACGCUUUGGAAACUGUUUAACUUGAGUGCAGAAGGGGAGAGUGGAAUUCCAUGUGUAGCGGUGAAAUGCGUAGAUAUAUGGAGGAACACCGGUGGCGAAAGCGGCUCUCUGGUCUGUAACUGACGCUGAGGCUCGAAAGCGUGGGGAGCGAACAGGAUUAGAUACCCCAGUAGUCCCUGUCUCUUAUACA